CCGGAAGGAGGGGCAGCCCUCUCUCGCCUCCUGCUGGUCGCCGACCCUGGCCCGCAGGGCGACCGAGGUGGCUCUGGCGGAGGCCCUCGUCGGGCCCGGCCCUGGGACACUGAGACCCCAGGGCUCUGGCCAGAGACCGGUGGCCCCUCGGGUUCCUCCAGAAAAUGAGAACUAUCCAUUCCACGGCAAUUGGAUGAUUGAUUCCUCCUGAUGAGUUUUCCAGGUGACCCCAGUUUGAGUGACCCAGGUAUGUCCGGCACGGAGUCAGUGCCCCAGGGUGGAGGGACGGUCUGGGGAAAGGCUCCUGUGUGGUCGAACCCGCCCCGGGGUGGGUGCAACCUCGUACCAGGCAGCCCCACCUUGACCUAGAGUAAAUUCCCAAGGGAAGCCUUCCCUGGGUUUUGAAUUUGCAGUAACAGGUGUGAACAUUCUAGCAGCAGUUUGAUGAUCAUGUAUGAUACUGCAAACAGGACCUACCCAGCGAGGAGAAAAACAUUUUGUUUGUUGGUUUGUUUUUGUGGUACUGGCGACCGAACUCAGAACCUUGCACUUACUAAGCAGGCACUGCGCCACUGAGCUACAUCCCCAGCCCGAGAAAAACAUUUUGAACCGGAGACCAAGUAGUUUUCAAAAUCCUGUAAACCGUAUUGAUGUCAUUUGUUUCCUUUAAACGUUUAUUGAUAUUUUUGGUCAGGCACCAUACCAAGUAUGAGGGAUAUAGGGACGAGUAAAACAGUCACAGCUCUUGUUCUCAGGUAGCAAUAGCCCAGCUGGGGAAACAGGGUUAAAUGAUCACACGUAAGAGGGUGUAAUUCAAGCCAAGCUGAAUGCUCUGAAGGAAAGCACUGCCCUCUAGGGAUCUAUGUUGCAAAGAGCCUGGUGGAAACUGGAAAGCUUUCCUUAGGAGGAGACUUGAGCUGGACUCUGUUGGAUGAGUAGGAGUUGGCUGGCAAAACGGGACAGUGUGUGCGAGGGCCCUGUGGCCUUGCAAGUGUGGCUGGUGGAGGAACUGAAGGAAACCACUAGCUCAGAAGGCAAGCUGGAGAACAGUGUAGAACAAAGCCCAAAAGAUGGGGAAGGGCCAGACUGCACAGGGCCUGUGGCUCAUGUGAGGAUUUUGGGUUUUUGUCCUAAAAACUGUGAGAUACCACUGCAGGUUUUAAGUAAAAAGAAGAUAUGUGUAACUCUGAUUUCAAAAGACUGCUGUGUAAGAACAAAAGUGCUGUCCAACAGAACUCCCAGUACUGGUGGAAAUGGGCUGUCUGGGCUGUUUAGAGCAGCCACAGUGACUGAGCAUUUGAAGUGUAGCUGGUGUGGCUGAUGUGCCGAGUUUUUAAAUUUUAACUCAAAUGUUAAUACCCAAACAUGACUGGUGGCCUCUGGGUGGGACAGUACAGGUCUGCACGUGUUGGAAGGAGUGGUGACCUUUGGUAGUGACAGAGACAGCGUCCAGUUCCCAGAGAACCUCAUAACAAUUUCUCCUUGGAAACAGUGGAAUUUUUAACGUUUAUUUUCUUGGCUGUAGUACAACCUGCUUCUCCAUGAAGCAGCAUCCUUCCUUCUCCUGGCUGUUCAUUUGGUUGUCAGCACCCAGAUCGAGAUGUCCCUAUCCACAGCAAAUUUAAGUACUUAAAGUGGCCACAUUCUCUGUCAGACACCUUGGGAGGAAUGUAAAGAAAAGUACAGUCCUCCCUGGGGAUGUAUCUCAGUGGUACAACCUGUGGUCAGCAUAGGCAAAGCCCUGGGUUCAAUCUCCGGCACCAAAAAAGAAAAGUAUGUCCAGGUACAGUGAUACUGGUCUCUAAUUCUACUACUCAGGAGGCUGAUGCAGGAGGAUCACAAGCUUGAGGCCAGUCUAGGCAACUUAGUGAUACUCUGUCUCAAAUUAAAUUUUAAAAAAUACUAGGGAUGUUGCUUAAUGGAAGAGCAAGUAUGGAGACCUGGGUUCAAUCCCCAGUAUCACAAAGGUGGGCGGGUGCCUGAUGUUGGAAACUAGAAUCCAUUGAGGGAGAUAUCAGUAAAUGCUGUGGGACAAGGAGCAUUUUCAGUGGGGCCCAUCCCAGACAUCACAGUCUGGGUGGAAAGUGGAUUUCCAGCUUGGGAGAGUGUUCCAUGGCACCAACAGUUUUAAAUGUUCAGACUCAGUAAAGGAGGAUAAACUGACAAAGUGUACUUUCUUUGCAGGUCAGUUUCCUGGGAGAUGGGUGCAUAUGCUGCGUGAAAAUAUGGUUUCGGUUCUGCUGGUUCUGUGUCAUUGUUUUGAUUUAGGGCCUUCCAGGUUGGUUUCUUUCCUUGAGACGGGGUCUCUCUGUGUAGUCCAGGCUCACGUCAAACUCAUCAUGUGGCCCAGGCUGGCCUCAGACCCACAGUGAUCCUCUCGUGUCAGCCUCCCAAGUGCUGAGAUGACAGUGUGCACCACCAUGCCUGGCUUGGUUUCAUUCUUCACCAUGUGCUCUGUGAGACGGAUAUAAAUAAAUGGAGUCCAAACCCAAAGAGUCGUUGUGCACUCUGUGAUUUCUAAGCCCAGUGGUUCUGUGUGUGUGUGGCCUCCACUGCUGAGAUACACACUCAGUAGCACUGUCUCCAGCUUUUUUUUUUUUUUUUUUUCUUUUGGUACCGGG
ensembl:lncRNA